rnacentral:rRNA from 1 species
UGUGCAGGCGGCCGCGUGUGUUAGGUGUGAAAUCUCGGAGCUCAACUCCGAAACUGCGCCUAAAACUGCGUGGCUAGAGUCUUGGAGAGGUAAGCGGAAUUCCUGGUGUAGCGGUGAAAUGCGUAGAUAUCAGGAGGAACACCAAAGGCGAAGGCAGCUUACUGGACAAGUACUGACGCUCAGGCACGAAAGCGUGGGGAGCAAAG